rnacentral:rRNA from 1 species
UACGAGGGGGGCAAGCGUUUGUUCGGAAUUAUUGGGCGUAAAGGGCGCGUAGGCGGUGCGGUAAGUCUGAUGUGAAAUCUUCGGGCUCAACUCGAAGUCUGCACGAGAAACUAUCUGGCUUGAGUGUGGGAGAGGUGAGUGGAAUUCCUGGUGUAGCGGUGAAAUGCGUAGAUAUCAGGAGGAACACCUGUGGCGAAAGCGGCUCACUGGACCACAACUGACGCUGAGGCGCGAAAGCUAGGGGAGCAAACAGG